AUGGUAACUGGUAUACCAAGUCUUAUGAUACCCGAAAAACUCUGUGAAGGUUGCUUAGUAAGGAAGCAAUCAAAAAAAUAUUUUGAUUUGACUAUGCCAAUAAGAUCCUCAUGCAUACUAGAAGUAGUACAUUCAGAUGUAUGUGAUCCGUUUGAGGAUCAUACUAUUAGUGGAAACAUGUAUUUUGUCUCAUUUGUCGAUGAGUAUAGUCAAAAGAUUUGGAUCUAUGUGAUCAAGCGAAAAGACAAAGUAUAUGUAUGUCAUUUUGCUCUGAGAGUAGUCAUGUUUCUCUCCAUUUUUUCCAUAGUGUUGUUAUGA